rnacentral:rRNA from 1 species
GGCGAACGGGUGAGUAACGCGUGAGCAACCUACCUUAGUUACUGGGAUAGCCCGAGGAAACUCGGAUUAAUACCGGAUAUUCUUAUUUAAUCACAUGAUUUUUUAAGGAAAGGUCAGCCGAACUAAGAUGGGCUCGCGUUCUAUCAGCUAGUUGGUAGGGUAACGGCCUACCAAGGCUACGACGGAUAGCUGGUCUGAGAGGACGAUCAGCCACACUGGGACUGAGACACGGCCCAGACUCCUACGGGAGGCUGCAGCAGGGAAUAUUGUGCAAUGAACGAAAGUUUGACACAGCGACACCGCGUGUGGGAUGACGGAUCUAGGUUUGUAAACCACUUUCAGGAGGGAAGAAAAUGACGGUACCUCCACAAGAAGCCCCGGCCAACUACGUGCCAGCAGCCGCGGUAAUACGUAGGGGGCGAGCGUUGUCCGGAUUUAUUGGGCGUAAAGAGCUCGUAGGCGGUUCAACAAGUCGGUCGUGAAAGUUCAGGGCUCAACCCUGAAAUGUCGAUCGAUACUGUUGUGACUAGGAUACGGCAGAGGUGAGUGGAAUUCCGAGUGUAGCGGUGAAAUGCGUAGAUAUUCGGAGGAACACCAAUUGCGAAGGCAGCUCACUGGGCCGCUAUCGACGCUGAUGAGCGAAAGCUUAGGGAGCAAACA